UCCCUGGUGUUCCGGUGGUUAGGAUUUGGCAUUCUCACUGUUGUGGUGCGGAUUCAAUCCUGGCUUAGGGUA
rnacentral:tRNA from 1 species